rnacentral:misc_RNA from 1 species
GCAAGGGUGCUGCAGACGUCAUCGUGACCGAAGGCUUCAGCGGCAACAUCGCCCUCAAGACCGCCGAGGGAACGGCCAGGCAGAUUGCGGAAUAUCUCCGCAGCGCCAUGAGCCGGACCUGGCGUUCCAAGCUCGGCUACAUUUUCGCGCGCGGCGCCUUCAAUGCGCUGCGCGACAAGAUGGACCCUCGCAAGGUCAAUGGCGGGGGC